rnacentral:lncRNA from 1 species
UCAGGGUAUCCAAUUGGACACCCUUCGUCGGAAAAAAAUACAGUAUAUUCAAGUAAAAUGAUACACGAAAUGAUUAAAUAAUAUAUUUUGGACACCCUUAACAUAACAAGUUGUUAUAGCCCAGUGGUUUCACCUCCUUGGAACGAGGAAGUGCUCGUAUGUUCGAAUCUCACUAGUUCUACUUUUUGAAAAGAGCUUUUGUUGUGCUAUUUAUGGACACACUUUGUGAAAUUCCUGGCUCCGCCACUG